rnacentral:lncRNA from 1 species
GAGAGGCCCUGAGAGCGGGGCAGAGAUGAAGGAGGAGCAGGAGGAGGAUGACUUCCCCCAUAAAGAGCAGGGGGACUGGAUCUUGGGUCGCCCCCGCCUCCCCAUCCUGGGUCCCAGCCCUGGCCUGAAUCAGUGAUUCCCACUUUGCAGACUCCCCAGCUACCCGUGAUGUUGCAUUCAGUGCUGAUCGUCCCUGCAGGAGGAAUGAGAUAUUUUGACCAAAGUCCAGGAGGACUAGAUGUGCAAGAAACUGGAGGAGCAGGUUCUCCACGUCAGGCAGAGGGGGGGAAUUAACCCCAAGUCUCCAACCCCCACUGGAGUACCCUAAGCACUGGGCUAAAGGCAGCUGCUACUGCCCCUCUC